CAUCUUUAUUUAAUAUAUUUAUGCAUAUUAAUUAGUUGAAUCUCUUUAUUUUAUUGAUUCUAUUAAUAUCUAUUAGUUUCCUACAUUUUGCAAAUUUUUCUAAAAAUUUGCAGCCGUUAGGUCAUUAGUGUUAUGUUGUGGCCACAACAGCCCCAUUUCUGUAACAUUCGCUGCGAUUUGAAUUCAUGAUUCAUAGCACCAACAAACUCAUUCCAACCACUGAUACAAACCAAGAGUAAAGAUCUUCAAAGCCAUUAAUAGCACAAGCUUUGGUUUUUUGUUUGUUUACAGCACCUCUACUUGAUCUUUUCGUAAGUUGUCAUUGAAUUAUUAAUUAGAUGUCACGAUAUUCCAGAGGCUCUACAAAGCAAAGUGACAACCGUCAACAGCUACACAACAAUAUGCAUCUUAAAAAGACCACAUCAUCAUGAAGGGUUUUAAAGACAUCCAGCAGUAAUAAAAUAAAAAUAUUUUGAAGCAAAUGUCUUCCCCUAUUCAUAACUCACUGCAGCGGACAGAAGUUUGCCGGAGCACCACAGAAAAGAGCUCAACAAAAAUCCAAACAAAGGCAUACCUUACCACGACACACAGCAAAA
rnacentral:misc_RNA from 1 species